UAGAGUUUGAUCCUGGCUCAGAUUGAACGCUGGCGGCAUGCUUUACACAUGCAAGUCGAACGGUAACAGGUCUUCGGAUGCUGACGAGUGGCGAACGGGUGAGUAAUGCAUCGGAACGUGCCCAGUCGUGGGGGAUAACGCAGCGAAAGCUGCGCUAAUACCGCAUACGAUCUAUGGAUGAAAGCGGGGGACCGUAAGGCCUCGCGCGAUUGGAGCGGCCGAUGUCAGAUUAGGUAGUUGGUGGGGUAAAGGCUCACCAAGCCAACGAUCUGUAGCUGGUCUGAGAGGACGACCAGCCACACUGGAACUGAGACACGGUCCAGACUCCUACGGGAGGCAGCAGUGGGGAAUUUUGGACAAUGGGCGCAAGCCUGAUCCAGCAAUGCCGCGUGCAGGAAGAAGGCCUUCGGGUUGUAAACUGCUUUUGUACGGAACGAAACGGUCUGGGAUAAUACCCUGGGCUAAUGACGGUACCGUAAGAAUAAGCACCGGCUAACUACGUGCCAGC
rnacentral:rRNA from 1 species